UAUUAUCACAUAAACUUUGAGUCUAUCAUAUUCUAUUGAGACUUAUAGUCUCAAAUGUGAUCUAGGCUUCAAGCCAUAAAUUGAUUAUGAUCAAUUAUCAAUUUUCUCAUUUCAAUAUUUUGUGGACUUGAAAAAUGUCCACAAAUGACAAAUCUGUCAUGUCUGAGUAAUUUGCUUGUAUCUCUCUCAUUCGAGAUCCAAUCUCAACGAUUCAAGAUGCUGUGAACAGCCAACCGAAAGUACUACAACUUUCGUGUUUUACAUUUUAUCAAAUUCGGACAAUAUCAGGUCCGAAACUGGACUCAAAGUCUUGAAAAAUGUCCACAAAUGACAGAUCUGGCAUGUCUGAGUAUUUUAAGCAUAUCUCUCUUGAUUGAGAUCCGAUUUUGAUGAUUCAAAAUGUUCCGAACAGCUAAUAGAAAAUGCUACAAGUUUCGUAUUUUGCAUUUUCUGAAAUUUGGACAUUAUCAGGUCCAAAACAGACAUAGAAGUACAGACUCGUGAAUUGCACGAAAAUUCACCUACAACAAAAUUAAGAUGAUUAAUAUUUAAUCAAUUUAAAAAUAAUAAAAUAUUUGAAAUCAACUCCCUUUUCAUCUUCCAUGGUUGAGAAGUAAUUAUCUUCUUUGGAUCAUCUUUACUC
rnacentral:lncRNA from 1 species